rnacentral:rRNA from 1 species
GAAUAUUGGGCAAUGGAAGAGAUUCUGACCCAGCCAUGCCGCGUGCAGGAAGAAGGCCUUCUGGGUUGUAAACUGCUUUUACCAGGGAAGAAAACGCUCCUGCGGGAGUAACUGACGGUACCUGGUGAAUAAGGACCGGCUAACUCCGUGCCAGCAGCCGCGGUAAUACGGAGGGUCCAAGCGUUAUCCGGAUUUAUUGGGUUUAAAGGGUACGUAGGCGGAAGAUUAAGUCAGUAGUGAAAGCCUCCCGCUCAACGGGAGAAUUGCUAUUGAUACUGAUUUUCUUGAAUAUAGUUGAAGUAGGCGGAAUACGACAUGUAGCGGUGAAAUGCAUAGAUAUGUCGUGGAACACCGAUCGCGAAGGCAGCUUACUAAGCUAUUAUUGACGCUGAUGUACGAAAGCGUGGGGAGCGAACAG